rnacentral:lncRNA from 1 species
UUAGACAAUGAGCAGAGAGGACCUGGGUUUCCAGGGCAACAGGGAGGGAGAACCACAGGGCACAGGGGAGCUGAGAGAUGAGGGGAGAUGUAAUGGUGAUGGAAGAACUGGAAGGAGGAAAACUAAAAUUAAAAAAUGAUUUGGCUCCACUGAAUGGGCUGCUAUUGCUGAAAAGCAACACAAAUUCUACACGGAGGCAAGCCUUCUGCAGGAGUAACCUGUUCCCCUUGGGGCACCAGUCUCCAUCAGAGUCUGGGAUGUCACCUGUCAUCAACCACACCUAUGCAAAACUCAGGAGGAGUAAAAGUGAAAUAAAGACGAUCGACACUUUCACGGCAGCUCAGGCAGGAUUUGCCACCAAAUGA